AGAAACCAGCCCAAGAGGACCAGGGGGACCGUGGUUCACAGUCAGUCUGUCGUCCCUUAGGUGAGGAAGGGCCUGGGUCCGUUUAAAGAUCUUAUUGUUUCUUCCCCAAAUUGGCAUGACUUUCUCCUCCAUUGUUCCUGGAAGUUCAUGUUCAUUGGAAAAGCCUCACUAAACUGCGAUCAUUUUUCUGCUUGAUAGGCUAUAUCCUGAAAGAUUAAAGGCAGAACUGGGAACAAAAAAUAAUGUUCAAAAAGAUAUUCAAAUAUAGCUCCUAGAAGCAGAAAUUGGGCCAGCCGAUA